rnacentral:rRNA from 1 species
GCCUAGGAACUGCCGGUAGUGGGGGAAACGUCUCGAAAGGACGCUAAUACCGCAUACGUCCUACGGGAGAAAGCAGGGGAGCUUCGGGCCUGCGCUAUCAGAUGAGCCUAGGUCGGAGUAGCUAGCCGGUGGGGUAACGGCUCACCAAGGCGACGAUCCGUAACUGGUCUGAGAGGAUGAUCAGUCACACUGGAACUGAGACACGGUCCAGACUCCUACGGGAGGCAGCAGUGGGGAAUAUUGGACAAUGGGCGAAAGCCUGAUCCAGCCAUGCCGCGUGUGUGAAGAAGGUCUUCGGAUUGUAAAGCACUUUAAGUUUGGGAGGAAGGGCAUUAACCUAAUACGUUAGUGUUUUGACGUCUACCGACAGAAUAAGCACCGGCUAACUCUGUGCCAGCAGCCGCGGUAAUACAGAGGGUGCAAGCGUUAAUCGGAAUUACUGGGCGUAAAGCGCGCGUAGGUGGUUUGUUAAGUUGGAUGU